AAGAUUUUAGUUUAAUUAAAGCAUCUGGGUUGCAUUCAGAAUAUGUGAGAUAGAGUCUUGCAAGUCUUA
rnacentral:tRNA from 1 species